rnacentral:rRNA from 1 species
AGGUAAGCUACUAAGAGCGAAUGGUGGAUGCCUUGACUGGUAAAGGCGAUGAAGGACGUACUAGACUGCGAUAAGCUACGGGGAGCUGUCAAGAAGCUUUGAUCCGUAGAUUUCCGAAUGGGGCAACCCAAUGUAUAGAGAUAUACAUUACCUAUAUAGGAGCGAACGAGGGGAAUUGAAACAUCUUAGUACCCUCAGGAAAAGAAAUCAAUAGAGAUUGCGUCAGUAGCGGCGAGCGAAAGCGCAAGAGGGCAAACCCAGUGCUUGCACUGGGGGUUGUAGGACUGCAAUGUGCAAGAGGUGAGUUUAGCAGAACAUUCUGGAAAGUAUAGCCAUAGAGGGUGAUAGUCCCGUAUGCGAAAAACAAACCUUAGCUAGCAGUAUCCUGAGUAGGGCGGGACACGAGGAAUCCUGUCUGAAUCCGGGUCGACCACGAUCCAACCCUAAAUACUAAUACCAGAUCGAUAGUGCACAAGUACCGUGAGGGAAAGGUGAAAAGAACUGAGGUGAUCAGAGUGAAAUAGAACCUGAAACCAUUUGCUUACAAUCAUUCAGAGCCCUAUGUAGCAAUACAGGGUGAUGGACUGCCUUUUGCAUAAUGAGCCUGCGAGUUGUGGUGUCUGGCAAGGUUAAGCAAACGCGAAGCCGUAGCGAAAGCGAGUCUGAAUAGGGCGCUUAGUCAGAUGCUGCAGACCCGAAACGAAGUGAUCUAUCCAUGAGCAAGUUGAAGCUAGUGUAAGAACUAGUGGAGGACUGAACCCAUAGGCGUUGAAAAGCCCCGGGAUGACUUGUGGAUAGGGGUGAAAGGCCAAUCAAACUUCGUGAUAGCUGGUUCUCUCCGAAAUAUAUUUAGGUAUAGCGUUGUGUCGUAAUAUAAGGGGGUAGAGCACUGAAUGGGCUAGGGCAUACACCAAUGUACCAAACCCUAUCAAACUCCGAAUACCUUAUAUGUAAUCACAGCAGUCAGGCGGCGAGUGAUAAAAUCCGUCGUCAAGAGGGAAACAACCCAGACUACCAGCUAAGGUCCCUAAAUCUUACUUAAGUGGAAAACGAUGUGAAGUUACUUAAACAACCAGGAGGUUGGCUUAGAAGCAGCCAUCCUUUAAAGAAAGCGUAAUAGCUCACUGGUCUAGUG